rnacentral:lncRNA from 12 species
GCCCCGGCUGCCCAUCUUCCUUCAUCUUUUUGUUUGUAACUUUCUUUCUAUGUUUCUAACUACCUCUUUUUUUCCUUUCUCUGUUUCUAUCUCUCUCUUUCCUCUUCUGUUAGGACCAUCAACAAUAAAGUCCACAUUGCAGAAGUCAAAGAGAAGCACCAGGAAAAGAAAAUCUAUGAGAAAGCCCUUCAGCAGGGAAAGAUAGUUGUUCAUGUAGGCAUCAGGUACCUGAUAUGCUUCAUGCCUACUGCUGGCUGAUGUGGGGAACCCUGAAGUGAAUCACACACAGAUCCUAUCCGUCGUCAACAAAGAGACACAAAAGAUGAGAAGUGUUCUUUCAAUGACAACACAAGGGACCAACAUCAAAGCAGCUCUGCUAAACCACAGCAACCAGGAGACUGCACGGGGACCCAAUGUGGGGAGGACCCCUCUCAUCACCUUCCUGACAGAUGUGGAGCCCACAGCCAGUGUGAUGACGCCCAGUGUGAUCCUCUCCAACAUCUGACAGGCGCUGGGCAACAGGGUGUCCGUUUUCAGUUUGGCCUUUGGGGAUGAGGCUGACUUCCCACUGAAAUGUCACCUAUCCCUGGAGACACGGAGAGCAGCCCGGUGCAUGCACGAGGACACUUGACACAGCCCUACAGCCGGUGGAGG